GACGAACGCUGGCGGCGUGCUUAACACAUGCAAGUCGUACGGUAAGGCCCUUUCGGGGGUACACGAGUGGCGAACGGGUGAGUAACACGUGAGUAACCUGCCCACAACUUUGGGAUAGCGCUAGGAAACUGGUGCUAAUACUGGAUAUGUGCUCCUGCUGCAUGGUGGGGGUUGGAAAGCUCCGGCGGUUGUGGAUGGACUCGCGGCCUAUCAGCUUGUUGGUGGGGUAGUGGCCUACCAAGGCGGCGACGGGUAGCCGGCCUGAGAGGGUGACCGGCACAUUGGGACUGAGAUACGGCCCAGACUCCUACGGGAGGCAGCAGUGGGGAAUAUUGCACAAUGGGCGCAAGCCUGAUGCAGCAACGCCGCGUGCGGGAUGACGGCCUUCGGGUUGUAAACCGCUUUCAGCAGGGACGAAGCUUUUUGUGACGGUACCUGCAGAAGAAGCACCGGCUAACUACGUG
rnacentral:rRNA from 1 species